rnacentral:rRNA from 1 species
UGGGGAAUAUUGGACAAUGGGCGCAAGCCUGAUCCAGCAAUGCCGCGUGUGUGAAGAAGGCCUUCGGGUUGUAAAGCACUUUUAUCAGGAGCGAAACACUGUCGGCUAAUACCCGGCGGAACUGACGGUACCUGAGGAAUAAGCACCGGCUAACUUCGUGCCAGCAGCCGCGGUAAUACGAAGGGUGCAAGCGUUAAUCGGAAUUACUGGGCGUAAAGCGUGCGUAGGCGGUUUCUUAAGUCUGCUGUGAAAUCCCCGGGCUCAACCUGGGAAUGGCAGUGGAUACUGGGAGGCUAGAGUGUGUCAGAGGGUGGUGGAAUUCCCGGUGUAGCGGUGAAAUGCGUAGAGAUCGGGAGGAACAUCAGUGGCGAAGGCGGCCACCUGGGACAACACUGACGCUGAGGCACGAAAGCGUGGGGAGCAAACAGGAUUAGAUACCCUGGUAGUCCACGCCCUAAAGCGAUGCGAACUGGAUGUUGGUCUCAACUCGGAGAUCAGUGUCGAAGCUAACGCGUUAAGUUCGCCGCCU